GUCUUCUUUCUAUAUUAUUUUCUAGCAGAUACUGUAUCUCAGGUAUCUCAAAUACCAUAAUACAAAUAAAGAAACAAAAAUAACCGUUUUUAUAAUACACCGAAUAGAUCUCGAUCGAAAUUCAGUGGCGCUUUAGCCGUGCAUGAACCGCAGUAGAUGAGUGGCGGUCCCCCACUGUUUAUUUUUAAAGCACUUUCUUCCACGCAGAAUCACGCCGUAAAAUUAACUUCCAGCAGCAGUAUUUUUGAAUUGAUACGACAUCGUAACCUUCAAGAAAAGAGCAUAUUGUUUUUUAAAGACCGGCAGCAAACCUGCAUGGCCUCUAGUAUUUCAGAUAGAAGCCCUUAUUUGGGUUAUCCAUCAUGGAGAGCUUACAAGGUAAUCUCAAUCACGAGGCAAUCCGUAUGCAUAAUACGGGAAACCUCGAGAUUCGCAGACAAUUUAGUGGCAUCGGGCCAAAGGGUCCCUUGACCUUCUGACCGAAUCGGUGUAUGGGGUCAUACGUGACUAUACAACCUAAAUAGUUCUAUACGUUACGCUUUAUGUACAUAGGCAGGUCCGGUACACGUGUUGAAUUUUUAAAUAUCUCCAGCAUUUGUUUUGUUCCCAGUGAACUAGUUUGUAUGUGCUCUGAUUAUUUUGUGUUCACUCGCGUGUAGGUUUGCGAGCGGAAAGAUGAAAUUUUUAGUUUUUAUGUACCCAUUUUCAUCCCGUAGGUAAGAGUAAGUAUUUUCCUUGUUUUCCUUUGUUCACUUGUUUUUUUUUUCUCUAAAAAAAGAAAAAUAUAUUGCGAUCCCUUAUUUAAUGAUAUCAAAUAGAAUAUACCAUUAAAAGUAAAGCAUUAAAAAAUAUUCUUGGAAAAUUUAACCAUGGUGAUAAAUCAUAAUACAACCCUAUAGGUUAAGUAGAUGUUUUAUGUUUAAAGCCAUUGUGUAUAUAUGUAUCUGUUCGUGAAAUCAUAACUAUUAAAUAAUAAUAAAUACCAUUGGAUAUGGAUUACAUAGCGUCAUCUAAUCCCAAACUAAAUAGAACUUACACUACAGGUACUAGACAACUGAUAAACAAAAAUAAAUACUUGCCUUAAAAAACAUUCAUAUUAUACAUAAAACAAUAUAAUAUAUACCUAGUCAUUAAUAUAAAUGUUUAUGUUUGUGCAGGAACAAAAAUACUCGUUGUUCUACAUAAACUUGACGAAUCUCUGUUCAAGAAUUGUUUGACAGUCUUCCAUCUUCGUUUGAUUGACUUAGAGUUUAGUACACCUAUAUAAUUGAAGUAACUCUGCAGUAAUAAGAUACCUUGUUCAUAAAUAAACCAAUUAAUCUGCGAAGAUCAUGCUGGUUAUGCUUGUUUAAGAUGAUCUUAAUAAAGCUAUUAGCGUAUAAUUAAAUAUACAAGAGAAAAAGAAUUUAGAAAUUUUUUUGCUAAAUCAGAAGAAAACAGGAUCUAUGCAAGAGUAACGUAAUAUCAAAAACGUUCAUUUACAGAAUGGGUUUUAAAGUAUUGUUAAUAAAUCAUCAAUAUUUUAAAACUGGGCAUUACAUCAAAAUUUAUUAAAUGCCACAUUUGAAUUUCGGUUUUAGUCAAUGAGGCUUAUCAGAAAUUACAUUAAAUUAAUUAAAACCUAUCAUAAAUAAUUCGUAUCAAUAAUUAUGAUGCAAAAAUGAAUAAAGGAUUUAAUUUUAACGUCGAUGGUAUAUUAUUUAUAAUAUAUCUGUUAAUAAGAAAUACGAUGUGUUUUUUUUUUAUAAUAAUGCAAUAUUAUUAUUAAUUAAUUAUAUUAUUUUGCAAAGAAUAUCAUUUUAUUAUUGAAAAACGGGUUUUUUUAGAUAGAAAAACCUGUGACACUGUGACCUUUCCAUGAUCUCAUGUACUCGCCCUUUUUUAAAGUUCCUAUCCUUCCUAUUCCUAUCAGUGAUAGAAAUUUUAAGAUGUUUGUAGCAACGUUUUUUGUCUCCUCAAAAAUGUAAACAAUGUGUGAAUGUGACAAAAUCUACAAACAAUUUAUGGGUAUACCCUAGUUGGGUUAUGUGCUUAUUUAGUUUACAGUGUACAGUGAAAGCCGUUGUUAAUAUACAAAUAUUAUUUUUACUCAAGGAAGUUAAUUUCUUUGAGUAGUUUUUAAAAACCAUUAGAUGUCUAAGCUUUAGGCUACGAGGCAAGCCACAAUAAGGUUUUGGUUCUAUUUGGGCAUUGAUUGCUGCUUUCUUUGCUAAUCAGACAGCUGUUUCAUUUCCAUGAAUAUCUGAAUGACCAGGGAUCCAUCUCAAGAUAAUGUUAUUUCUGCUACCCAAGUCAUUUAAUAACAUUAUGUAGUUGUUUGUAAGCUUUGACUCUUAAUUUCGUAUGAGUCAAGUGUAAGUAAUGCCGCUUGACUAUCCGAAUAAAUAAAUUUAUUAUUAUUUAUGUAUUUAAAACUUAGAUUCAGUUCUACACAUCUUAUUUAUGGCCAUAGUUUCGGUCUGAAAUAUUGUGGCAUAUUUACUUAAGUUUAAAAACUGUGAACUAUUGGUCUAACACCAUAAACACUUUAUCUCAUAUUUUCUUCUAUUUUGAAUCCAUCUGUAAACCAAACUAGGUCAGACUACAGACUGAGUGAGACGGUAGGUAAUCUUUAUUCCACUUGUAUCUUCUAGAAAAUUUCAAUUUUGUAAUAUUUUUCAAAAUUGCAUUCUGGGAUCAUCUCUGGCGUUCCCAGAAUGGGAUUGCUCAUUGUUAAUUCUUCAAGUGUUUUGAGCGCCUGUGAUUGCCAUGAGUUCUAACAAUGAGAACUAUUUCGAAGCAUACUGUAUUUGGCCUUUUCCUGUAUGAAAAAGGCCAAAAGGGGUAGGGGUGUUAAAUUCAGUAAUGCGUUCAGAGCUGCUCCCAGAGUAGUACUCAUAGUACUUGUAGUUAUCAGGCAUGCUAUUGUUUGUAGCCUGUUUAAUUUAUUGGCAGCUGUCGCCUGCAUUGACUUUUUCCAUCAAAUUACGCAGGUGUUAAAUAUUUAUUUUAAAUUAUAUUAAUUUUCUUAAACAUCUUGUGUUAAAAUGUGUACCUACAUUUAUUAAUAAAAAUCAGACUAAUUACUUUAAAUAUAAUAAAAUAUUAAAAUUGUUAUUAUACCAAAUUUUGUAAUGAAUUAUUCUUGUAAUGUAUAUAAAACACAAAUUUAUAUUUUAAUUGAUUUUAUAAUUAUUUAUUAUCAUGACACUUAAAUAAAAAGUAAUGAAAUUGUAAGAACACGUGGUCUCACUAACUUGUUCACUCGAAUUCGGCCCUGUGGAUAUAAAAGAUUGUUAUUUGGAUGGGGAGGCACUUCUUGUCCAACCGUUAAACAGAGCGGAGCUCCCUGACGAAUCAAGAGUGAACAAGUAUAGUAAAGCACGUGGUCAUUAUAUAAAAUAUAUUACAAUAAUUGUUGAUGGAAGUCCUAAAGAAGCUAUAUUUAAAUAAGUGUUAAUGGAUUAACAGAAGUUGGGUAUUUAUGAUAUAUUAUUUAGUAUAUAUCAAACCCAAAGUAAAAUAGGUAAAUAUACGAUUUAAUAGAAUGAUCUCUAAAAUAAAUGAACUGAGUGAA